rnacentral:rRNA from 1 species
CAGUGAUCACUUUAACGGCCGCGGUACCCUGACCGUGCAAAGGUAGCAUAAUCAUUUGCCUUUUAAUUGGAGGCUAGUAUGAAUGGUCUGACGAGAGUAAAACUGUCUCAUAUAUAUUCAAUAGAAAUUAACUUAAAGGUGCAAAGGCCUUUAUUUACUAAAAAGACGAGAAGACCCUGUUGAGCUUUAAUCUAACAUUUUUUCUAUAUUAAUAAAUUUAUUUUGCUCACUAAAGAUUUUAAUUGGGGCGAUUAAGGAACAACUAUUAGCUUCCUGAAUAGUUAAAUCGAUCCAGCAGUGCUGAUCAACAAAAUGAGUUACCACAGGGAUAACAGCAUAAUUCUUCUUGAGAGCCCAUAUCGAAAGAAGAGAUUGUGACCUCGAUGUUGGACUAGGGUAACUAGAAGGUGUAGCCGCUUUCUUGUUUGGUCUGUUCGACCAGUAAUUCCCU